rnacentral:rRNA from 1 species
GACGAACGCUGGCGGCGUGCUUAACACAUGCAAGUCGAACGGAAAGGCCCUGCUUUUGUGGGGUGCUCGAGUGGCGAACGGGUGAGUAACCCGUGAGUAACCUGCCCUUGACUUUGGGAUAACUUCAGGAAACUGGGGCUAAUACCGGAUAGGAGCUCCUGCUGCGUGGUGGGGGUUGGAAAGUUUCGGCGGUUGGGGAUGGACUCGCGGCUUAUCAGCUUGUUGGUGGGGUAGUGGCUUACCAAGGCUUUGACGGGUAGCCGGCCUGAGAGGGUGACCGGCCACAUUGGGACUGAGAUACGGCCCAGACUCCUACGGGAGGCAGCAGUGGGGAAUAUUGCACAAUGGGCGGAAGCCUGAUGCAGCAACGCCGCGUGCGGGAUGACGGCCUUCGGGUUGUAAACCGCUUUCGCCUGUGACGAAGCGUGAGUGACGGUAAUGGGUAAAGAAGCACCGGCUAACUACGUG